rnacentral:rRNA from 1 species
GUGAGGAAUUUUCCGCAAUGGGCGAAAGCCUGACGGAGCAAUGCCGCGUGAAGGAUGAAGGCCUAUGGGUUGUAAACUUCUUUUCUCAGAAAAGAAUUAUGACGGUAUCUGAGGAAUAAGCAUCGGCUAACUCUGUGCCAGCAGCCGCGGUAAGACAGAGGAUGCAAGCGUUAUCCGGAAUGAUUGGGCGUAAAGCGUCUGUAGGUUGUUUAAAAAGUAUUCUGUCAAAGAUUAGGGCUUAACCCUAGAUAGGCAGAAUAAACUUUUAAGCUAGAGUUUGGUAGAGGCAUAGGUAAUACCCGGUGGAGCGGGGAAAUGUGUAGAUAUCGGGAGAAAAACCAAAGGCGAAGGCACUCUGCGGGGACAUUACUAACACUGAGAGACGAAAGCGAGGGGAGCAAAAGGGAUUAGAAACCCUAGUAGUCC